UCAGUAAGUUGGGCACUCUAAGGUGACUGCCGGUGACAAACCGGAGGAAGGUGGGGAUGACGUCAAAUCAUCAUGCCCCUUAUGACCUGGGCUACACACGUGCUACAAUGGACGGUACAAAGAGCUGCAAGACCGCGAGGUGGAGCUAAUCUCAUAAAACCGUUCUCAGUUCGGAUUGUAGGCUGCAACUCGCCUACAUGAAGCUGGAAUCGCUAGUAAUCGCGGAUCAGCAUGCCGCGGUGAAUACGUUCCCGGGCCUUGUACACACCGCCCGUCACACCACGAGAGUUUUAACACCCGAAGUCGGUGGGGUAACCUUUUGGAGCCAGCCGCCUAAGGUGACAGAUGUGGCU
rnacentral:rRNA from 1 species